GAGAAAGAGACAGAGAGAGAGAGAUGUAUAAAGCUACAUCUCAUCAGAAGCAUAAGAGCUGUGUUCCUCUACAAGCUUCCCUUGGGUCCACCUCUUCAACAUC